rnacentral:lncRNA from 1 species
UAGCUUUCUUUUCUUGAAGACCAUUAAAUGUUGCCAUUGCUGUCUUUUUUCAAAAUUUUGAACAAUUAUUUCAUACUUAAAAGUAAUUUAUUUGUGCUCAGGAUUCAAGAGCGUGACAAACAGGGUUGCACCCUAGUCAUCAGUAGAUGAAGGAUGAUUUUCUCCCCUAGUGGUCGCCUUAGUUAUGUAUUAUCAGGGAGGUUACCUCUACAAAUACAUUGCUUUUUCAUUUUGUAAAUUUCUUUUCACUUUUAGGGCCGGAAGAAAAUGGUUCUCUCCAUGCAAGAGGCGCUUUUGGAAUUUAGUGAGAAAGAUGAUGAGAGACAUGAAGAGAUCUUAAGGAUGUUGACGUUGUUCAGCACUGCAUCAAAGAAAGCUCGUCUUGCACAGAGAGAAUUGUCCAGUGCUAUCACUGAGGAUAUCAAGGCAUGUGAACCAAACUUUGCCGAAGUCAUGAGCGUCUUGAACAAGGUUGAAGACAAUCUGAAGCUUCAGCAAGACUCAACUGUCGAAAAGUUGCAAUCUUGGAAGAAUUCGGAAAGUGAGCGGUUGACUGCUAUCAUUGGGAGUGUUGAAAACCUAUCAUCAGUUUCGAAAGAAUCUCAGAAAAGUUUUGACUCUUGGAGUGCUGGUUUUAAUGAAGGUUUGGUCGAAAGCGACACCAAGGAAGAACAACGUGAAAAAUAGCAAGAAGAG